UCCGAAUUGGUGUAGUGGCUAACAUUUGGUGCUCUCAUGGGUUAAAUAUCUAACAAGGUAAUAUUAACUUGUCGGAUCCGCCAAGCCCGGGGUUCGAUUCCCCGAUUCGGAG